UACGAAGGGGGCUAGCGUUGCUCGGAAUUACUGGGCGUAAAGCGCACGUAGGCGGAUUGUUAAGUCGGGGGUGAAAUCCUGGAGCUCAACUCCAGAACUGCCUUCGAUACUGGCGAUCUCGAGUUCGGGAGAGGUGAGUGGAACUGCGAGUGUAGAGGUGAAAUUCGUAGAUAUCGAGAGGAACACCAGUGGCGAAGGCGAGUCUCUGGACAAUUCCUGACGCUGAGGCACGAAAGCUAGGGGAGCAAACAGG
rnacentral:rRNA from 1 species